GGGCGCACGGUGGAUGCCUUGACACUAGGAGUCGAUGAAGGACGGGACUAACGCCGAUAUGCUUCGGGGAGCUGUAAGUAAGCUUUGAUCCGAAGAUUUCCGAAUGGGGAAACCCACCAUACGUAAUGGUAUGGUAUCCUUAUCUGAAUACAUAGGGUAAGGAAGACAGACCCAGGGAACUGAAACAUCUAAGUACCUGGAGGAAGAGAAAGCAAAUGCGAUUUCCUGAGUAGCGGCGAGCGAAACGGAACAUAGCCCAAACCAAGAGGCUUGCCUCUUGGGGUUGUAGGACAUUCUAUACGGAGUUACAAAGGAACGAGGUAGGCGAAGCGACCUGGAAAGGUCCGUCGUAGAGGGUAACAACCCCGUAGUCGAAACUUCGUUCUCUCUUGAAUGUAUCCUGAGUACGGCGGAACACGUGAAAUUCCGUCGGAAUCUGGGAGGACCAUCUCCCAAGGCUAAAUACUCCCUAGUGAUCGAUAGUGAACCAGUACCGUGAGGGAAAGGUGAAAAGCACCCCGGAAGGGGAGUGAAAGAGAUCCUGAAACCGUGUGCCUACAAAUAGUCAGAGCCCGUUAACGGGUGAUGGCGUGCCUUUUGUAGAAUGAACCGGCGAGUUACGAUCCCGUGCGAGGUUAAGCUGAAGAGGCGGAGCCGCAGCGAAAGCGAGUCUGAAUAGGGCGUUUAGUACGUGGUCGUAGACCCGAAACCAGGUGAUCUACCCAUGUCCAGGGUGAAGUUCAGGUAACACUGAAUGGAGGCCCGAACCCACGCACGUUGAAAAGUGCGGGGAUGAGGUGUGGGUAGCGGAGAAAUUCCAAUCGAACCUGGAGAUAGCUGGUUCUCCCCGAAAUAGCUUUAGGGCUAGCCUUAAGUGUAAGAGUCUUGGAGGUAGAGCACUGAUUGGACUAGGGGUCCUCAUCGGAUUACCGAAUUCAGUCAAACUCCGAAUGCCAAUGACUUAUCCUUAGGAGUCAGACUGCGAGUGAUAAGAUCCGUAGUCAAAAGGGAAACAGCCCAGACCGCCAGCUAAGGUCCCAAAGUGUGUAUUAAGUGGAAAAGGAUGUGGAGUUGCUUAGACAACUAGGAUGUUGGCUUAGAAGCAGCCACCAUUUAAAGAGUGCGUAAUAGCUCACUAGUCGAGUGACUCUGCGCCGAAAAUGUACCGGGGCUAAAUACACCACCGAAGCUGCGGAUUGAUACCAAUGGUAUCAGUGGUAGGGGAGCGUUCUAAGGACAGUGAAGUCAGACCGGAAGGACUGGUGGAGUGCUUAGAAGUGAGAAUGCCGGUAUGAGUAGCGAAAGACGGGUGAGAAUCCCGUCCACCGAAUGCCUAAGGUUUCCUGAGGAAGGCUCGUCCGCUCAGGGUUAGUCAGGACCUAAGCCGAGGCCGACAGGCGUAGGCGAUGGACAACAGGUUGAUAUUCCUGUACCACCUCUUUAUCGUUUGAGCAAUGGAGGGACGCAGAAGGAUAGAAGAAGCGUGCGAUUGGUUGUGCACGUCCAAGCAGUUAGGCUGAUAAGUAGGCAAAUCCGCUUAUCGUGAAGGCUGAGCUGUGAUGGGGAAGCUCCUUAUGGAGCGAAGUCUUUGAUUCCCCGCUGCCAAGAAAAGCUUCUAGCGAGAUAAAAGGUGCCUGUACCGCAAACCGACACAGGUAGGCGAGGAGAGAAUCCUAAGGUGUGCGAGAGAACUCUGGUUAAGGAACUCGGCAAAAUGACCCCGUAACUUCGGGAGAAGGGGUGCUUUCUUAACGGAAAGCCGCAGUGAAUAGGCCCAAGCGACUGUUUAGCAAAAACACAGCUCUCUGCGAAGCCGUAAGGCGAAGUAUAGGGGGUGACACCUGCCCGGUGCUGGAAGGUUAAGGAGAGGGGUUAGCGUAAGCGAAGCUCUGAACUGAAGCCCCAGUAAACGGCGGCCGUAACUAUAACGGUCCUAAGGUAGCGAAAUUCCUUGUCGGGUAAGUUCCGACCCGCACGAAAGGUGUAACGAUUUGGGCACUGUCUCAACCAGAGACUCGGUGAAAUUAUAGUACCUGUGAAGAUGCAGGUUACCCGCGACAGGACGGAAAGACCCCGUGGAGCUUUACUGUAGCCUGAUAUUGAAUUUUGGUACAGUUUGUACAGGAUAGGCGGGAGCCUUUGAAACCGGAGCGCUAGCUUCGGUGGAGGCGCUGGUGGGAUACCGCCCUGACUGUAUUGAAAUUCUAACCUACGGGUCUUAUCGACCCGGGAGACAGUGUCAGGUGGGCAGUUUGACUGGGGCGGUCGCCUCCUAAAGUGUAACGGAGGCGCCCAAAGGUUCCCUCAGAAUGGUUGGAAAUCAUUCGUAGAGUGCAAAGGCAUAAGGGAGCUUGACUGCGAGACCUACAAGUCGAGCAGGGACGAAAGUCGGGCUUAGUGAUCCGGUGGUUCCGCAUGGAAGGGCCAUCGCUCAACGGAUAAAAGCUACCCCGGGGAUAACAGGCUUAUCUCCCCCAAGAGUCCACAUCGACGGGGAGGUUUGGCACCUCGAUGUCGGCUCAUCGCAUCCUGGGGCUGUAGUCGGUCCCAAGGGUUGGGCUGUUCGCCCAUUAAAGCGGUACGCGAGCUGGGUUCAGAACGUCGUGAGACAGUUCGGUCCCUAUCCGUCGUGGGCGUAGGAAAUUUGAGAGGAGCUGUCCUUAGUACGAGAGGACCGGGAUGGACGCACCGCUGGUGUACCAGUUGUUCUGCCAAGGGCAUAGCUGGGUAGCUAUGUGCGGAAGGGAUAAGUGCUGAAAGCAUCUAAGCAUGAAGCCCCCCUCAAGAUGAGAUUUCCCAUAGCGUAAGCUAGUAAGAUCCCUGAAAGAUGAUCAGGUUGAUAGGUUCGAGGUGGAAGCAUGGUGACAUGUGGAGCUGACGAAUACUAAUAGAUCGAGGACUUAACCAUAUA
rnacentral:rRNA from 1 species